AGUGAACGCUGGCGGUAGGCCUAACACAUGCAAGUCGAACGGCAGCACAGUAAGAGCUUGCUCUUACGGGUGGCGAGUGGCGGACGGGUGAGGAAUACAUCGGAAUCUACUUUUUCGUGGGGGAUAACGUAGGGAAACUUACGCUAAUACCGCAUACGACCUACGGGUGAAAGCAGAGGAUCUUCGGACCUUGCGCGAUUGAAUGAGCCGAUGUCGGAUUAGCUAGUUGGCGGGGUAAAGGCCCACCAAGGCGACGAUCCGUAGCUGGUCUGAGAGGAUGAUCAGCCACACUGGAACUGAGACACGGUCCAGACUCCUACGGGAGGCAGCAGUGGGGAAUAUUGGACAAUGGGCGCAAGCCUGAUCCAGCCAUACCGCGUGGGUGAAGAAGGCCUUCGGGUUGUAAAGCCCUUUUGUUGGGAAAGAAAGGCAGCAGGUUAAUACCCCGCUGUUCUGACGGUACCCAAAGAAUAAGCACCGGCUAACUUCGUG
rnacentral:rRNA from 1 species